rnacentral:rRNA from 1 species
UACGUAGGGCGCAAGCGUUGUCCGGAAUUAUUGGGCGUAAAGAGCUCGUAGGCGGUUUGUCGCGUCUGCCGUGAAAGUCCGGGGGCUCAACUCCGGAUCUGCGGUGGGUACGGGCAGACUAGAGUGAUGUAGGGGAGACUGGAAUUCCUGGUGUAGCGGUGAAAUGCGCAGAUAUCAGGAGGAACACCGGUGGCGAAGGCGGUUAGCUGGGGCAGUUGCUGACACUGAGGCGCGACAGCGUGGGGGAGCAAACAGG